rnacentral:rRNA from 1 species
CCCUUAGAUGUUCUGGGCGGCCCGCGCACUACACUGGCGCUCUCAAUCAGAGCCUGGAUCUAACACUUUGGGGUAUUCUAUGAAGUGGUGUCGUGACUGGGAUUAACCCUUGCAAUUAUUGGUUACGAACGAGGAAUUCCUUGUAAUCGCGGUUUAUCAGCCCGCGUUGAAUGCGUCCCUGCCCUUUGUACACACCGCCCGUCGCUCCUACCGAUGGAUCGUCCGGUGAAGCUCAUGGAGGGGCGGUUGUCUCAGCUGCCGUCGAAGUGAAAUGGACCUCACGAUCUAGAGGAAGGAGAAGUCGUAACA